GUGAUCCUGAGUCUGAUUUGGGAAAGAAAUAGGGGAGCUUUGGUUCUGCAAUGCUGAUAUCACCUCAGCAGCCCUCCCAUCUCAGGGUCUGAGAACCAUCCUUCUGAUUUCCACCUUCCUUUGUGGAACAACAUGGACUCAGGAGAUAGUGGAAUUAAUACAAAAUGAAGGUGAUGUGGAGAAAAGUAAACGGGCACCGACUCAUCAACGAUUUCCUUUCCUCGAAAUGAAAAUCCCAUCCUUAGGAUCUG
rnacentral:lncRNA from 1 species